UGAUGAAAAACCUUUCAUCUUCUUUAAUGGCAUGUUUUUGCUCUAAUCAUAUAUAUUUCUUAAUCUCCAAGACAAAAAACAUGUUAUAAAAUAACAGAUCAAACUCCCUGAUUGAAAUUUUAUCAUCAUGGAAAGAUCAGAUGUGCAAUGAUUCGCCCUUAUUUUGAGAGCUUCUGAGAGAAUCCUGAAACAGGGCAAGUCGACUUGUCACUCCUGCACCUCAGUUUUCAGAUCUAGUGGCUGAACUAGGCUGUUAGACCUGGUUAGCCUUUCCAGGUCUAACAUUUAUGAGCUCCUAGAACCCUAAGCUCUUUGUGUGAGCUUAGAACUCAGAUCAGCGUGCGCAGAGGGGCGUGCUCCUGGCAAAGGUUAAAAGCAGUCUCUUUGUCAGAUGGAGAGCAUGAAGCAGGGACUGCUCAGAGUACGGAGGACAACGUGCAGAGGAAAUCCCCACCUAGACUUGGCAGAGCGAUUCAAGCUGGCCCAGAGGAGAGGGAUGCUGAGGGUGUCAGUCAUGCAGCUGGCAUUUGUGUCCACUGUGAUUGCCAGCAUUUGGUGCAGUGGGUGAAGCAAGUCUUAUUUGAAAAUCUGCCAGAGACAGCCGGUGGGAGCUGGUGCAAGAGGAAGCAGCUCGAGGGGUGGCUGCUUUGUCCCAGUUCUCAAACACAGAGGGAGCCAUCCUGGGGCAGAAAGAGGAAGUGGCCUGCACCAGCCCCACCCCCCACCUCAGCCCUCCAUNNNNNNNNNNNNNNNNNNNNNNNNNNNNNNNNNNNNNNNNNNNNNNNNNNNNNNNNNNNNNNNNNNNNNNNNNNNNNNNNNNNNNNNNNNNNNNNNNNNGCACCAGCCCCACCCCCCACCUCAGCCCUCCAUCCCUCAGCCCUCCAGAAGCUUCUCUUCCCUAACCAGUUUUCUGCAGAGCUCUUGUGCCUGAAAAAUAAUCACUUUUCUUGAGAAAAAUAAUCCCUAACUAUAUGGCCUCGAGGAAGCUGAUGAGUAAUCAGGGGAUGAUGGUUGACAGAGAGGAGACAUAGCUCCUCCCUGAUGGAAAGCUGGAGAGGGGAGCUGUUUCCUGUCUAACUAGUGCCCCAUUUCCCACUUCCAGGCUCCGUGGCUCAGCUGAAUUAGAAGCCAAACUAAAAAGGAUAUCUGGGGUACACCCCGGGGUAUCGCAGCAGGAUCUAAGACUUCCUCAUACAACAGCAGGAUACUAUUAUUGAGAAACGUAGAGAGGCCCAGAACCUCUUAAGAAACAGUAAAUCAGUAUUCAGGCAGCAUCUUAAAGUAGCAAGCGGAUGUGGAAUACAUUUUAGAAGGAUUUUGGUUCAGUGGUAAAGAAUCCGCCUGCCAAUGAAGAAGACUCAGGAGCUGCAGGUUCCAUCCCUGGGUCAGGAGGAUCCCCUGGAGUAGCAAGUGGCGACCCACUCCAGUAUUCUUGCUUGGAAAAUCCCAAGGACAGAGGAGCCUUGUGGGCUAUAGUCCAUGAGAUCACAAAAAGUCAGACACCUGAACGUUCACGCGCACACACACAUACAUAUCAAAAAGUGGCUAACAUAUUGUAAAAGAGAGCUCCUGCUUUCAAGUAUUAAAGAAUUUUUAAAAUUCCUUUUCCCUCUUGAAAUGCACAAACACCAUCAUCAUCAUCAUUAUCCAUUAUCCAGGCCAUCAUUAUCCUGAAAUUUUAGAAACCUGGUGACAAAGAGUAAAUCUGUUCCUUUAUUCAUACCUUCAACAAAUCUUGUGCUGUGUUCUAGGCACAAUAGGCUACAUUAGUGAAGCCCCCACAGAGAUUAAGUUGUAAUAAAUAAGUAAAUUCUAUGCAGUCCACCCUUUGUAUCUGUGGGUUCCACAUCCACAGAUUGAACCAACCUCAGAUUAAAAAUAUUUGGAAAGGGAGUUCCCUAGUGGUCCAGUGGUUAGGACGCCACACUUCUACUACAGGACUACCAAGAACAUGCUUCAGUUCAGUUGCUCAGUCCUGUCCAACUCUUUGAAACCCCAUGGAGUGCAGCAGACCAGGCUUCCCUGUCUAUCACCACUCCCAGAGCUUGCUCAAACUCAUGUCCAUUGAGUCACUGAUGCCAU
ensembl:lncRNA